UACGGGGGGGGCAAGCGUUGUUCGGAAUUACUGGGCGUAAAGGGCUCGUAGGCGGCCAACUAAGUCAGACGUGAAAUCCCUCGGCUUAACCGGGGAACUGCGUCUGAUACUGGAUGGCUGGAGGUUGGGAGAGGGAUGCGGAAUUCCAGGUGUAGCGGUGAAAUGCGCAGAUAUCAGGAAGAACACCCGUGGCUAAGGCGGCUCUCUAGUACGGUACUGACGCUGAGACGCGAAAGCGUGGGGAGCGAACAGG
rnacentral:rRNA from 1 species